CCAAACAUCGUAUGUUCUCACUGUUAUGUGGGAGCUAAGAUAUGAGGACACAAAGGCAUAAGAAUGACACAAUGGACUUCGGGGACUUGAGGGGAAGAGCAGAAAUGGGGAAAGGG